rnacentral:rRNA from 1 species
GACGAACGCUGGCGGCGUGCUUAACACAUGCAAGUCGAACGGAAAGGCCCCUUUGGGGGUACUCGAGUGGCGAACGGGUGAGUAACACGUGAGUAACCUGCCCUUGACUUCGGGAUAACUUCAGGAAACUGGGGCUAAUACCGGAUAGGAAUCCUUGCUGCAUGGUGGGGGUUGGAAAGCUUCGGCGGUUUUGGAUGGACUCGCGGCUUAUCAGCUUGUUGGUGGGGUAGUGGCUUACCAAGGCUUUGACGGGUAGCCGGCCUGAGAGGGCGACCGGCCACAUUGGGACUGAGAUACGGCCCAGACUCCUACGGGGGGCAGCAGUGGGGAAUAUUGCACAAUGGGCGGAAGCCUGAUGCAGCAACGCCGCGGGCGGGAUGACGGCCUUCGGGUUGUAAACCGCUUUCAGCAGGGGCGAAGCUUGUGGUGACGGUACCUGCAGAAGAAGCACCGGCUAACUACGUG